CAAGUCGAACGGGAUUAGUUGUAGCAAUACGACUAUGAGAGUGGCGCACGGGUGCGUAACACGUAUGCAACCUACCUAUAACUGGGGGAUAGCCUCCCGAAAGGGAGAUUAACACCGCAUAACAUUAUGAAGUGGCAUCACUUUAUAAUUAAAUCUACGGAGGUUAUAGAUGGGCAUGCGUCCGAUUAGCUAGUUGGUGAGGUAACGGCUCACCAAGGCUCCGAUCGGUAGGGGGUCUGAGAGGAUGAUCCCCCACACUGGUACUGAGACACGGACCAGACUCCUACGGGAGGCAGCAGUAAGGAAUAUUGGACAAUGGGCGCAAGCCUGAUCCAGCCAUGCCGCGUGAAGGAUGAAGGCCCUAUGGGUCGUAAACUUCUUUUAUACGGGACAAAACCCCCCGAUGCGUCGGGGGUUGAUGGUACUGUAAGAAUAAGGGUCGGCUAACUUCGUGCCAGCAGCCGCGGUAAUACGAAGGACCCGAGCGUUAUCCGGAUUUAUUGGGUUUAAAGGGUGCGUAGGCGGAUUAGUAAGUCAGUGGUGAAAGCCCAUCGCUUAACGGUGGAACUGCCAUUGAUACUGCUAGUCUUGAGUAUGGUUGAGGUGGGCGGAAUGUGUCAUGUAGCGGUGAAAUGCUUAGAUAUGACCCAGAACACCAAUUGCGAAGGCAGCUCGCUAAGCCAUAACUGACGCUGAGGCACGAAAGCGUGGGGAGCAAACAGGAUUAGAUACCCUGGUAGUCCACGCCCUAAACUAUGAUCACUCGUUGUUGGCGAUACACAGUCAGCGACUAAGGGAAACCAUUAAGUGAUCCACCUGGGGAGUACGACCGCAAGGUUGAAACUCAAAGGAAUUGACGGGGGCCCGCACAAGCGGAGGAGCAUGUGGUUUAAUUCGAUGAUACGCGAGGAACCUUACCUGGGCUUGAAA
rnacentral:rRNA from 1 species